AACCAUAGAAACCUGCGGAGUACCUGCGGAGGGAUCAUUAUCGAGUGCGAACCCCCUCGUAAAAAAGGGGGUUUCCUCCGGUCCUUUGCUGGACACCCCCUUCUGAUAAAGAGGGGGUUGUUUUCAGACCUUCUGCUUCGGCGGGGUUACCUGCCGGAACAAACUCAAAAAUUCUUGGUCAAACAGUUCAGUCCGAGGACUUUUUUAAAAGCGAAAAACUUUCAACAACGGAUCUCAGAU
rnacentral:misc_RNA from 1 species